UGGGGAAUAUUGGACAAUGGGCGAAAGCCUGAUCCAGCCAUGCCGCGUGUGUGAAGAAGGUCUUCGGAUUGUAAAGCACUUUAAGUUGGGAGGAAGGGCAGUCAGUUAAUACCUUACUGUCUUGACGUUACCAACAGAAUAAGCACCGGCUAACUUCGUGCCAGCAGCCGCGGUAAUACGAAGGGUGCAAGCGUUAAUCGGAAUUACUGGGCGUAAAGCGCGCGUAGGUGGUUCAGCAAGUUGGAUGUGAAAGCCCCGGGCUCAACCUGGGAACUGCAUCCAAAACUACUGAGCUAGAGUACGGUAGAGGGUGGUGGAAUUUCCUGUGUAGCGGUGAAAUGCGUAGAUAUAGGAAGGAACACCAGUGGCGAAGGCGACCACCUGGACUGAUACUGACACUGAGGUUCGAAAGCGUGGGGAGCAAACAG
rnacentral:rRNA from 1 species